rnacentral:rRNA from 1 species
CUGGCGGCGAGUGGCGAACGGGUGAGUAAUACAUCGGAACGUGCCCAAUCGUGGGGGAUAACGCAGCGAAAGCUGUGCUAAUACCGCAUACGAUCUACGGAUGAAAGCAGGGGAUCGCAAGACCUUGCGCGAAUGGAGCGGCCGAUGGCAGAUUAGGUAGUUGGUGAGGUAAAGGCUCACCAACCUUCGAUCUGUAGCUGGUCUGAGAGGACGACCAGCCACACUGGGACUGAGACACGGCCCAGACUCCUACGGGAGGCAGCAGUGGGGAAUUUUGGACAAUGGGCGAAAGCCUGAUCCAGCCAUGCCGCGUGCAGGAUGAAGGCCUUCGGGUUGUAAACUGCUUUUGUACGGAACGAAACGGCCUUUUCUAAUAAAGAGGGCUAAUGACGGUACCGUAAGAAUAAGCACCGGCUAACUACGUGCCAGCAGCCGCGGUAAUACGUAGGGUGCAAGCGUUAAUCGGAAUUACUGGGCGUAAAGCGUGCGCAGGCGGUAAUGUAAGACAGUUGUGAAAUCCCCGGGCUCAACCUGGGAACUGCAUCUGUGACUGCAUUGCUGGAGUACGGCAGAGGGGGAUGGAAUUCCGCGUGUAGCAGUGAAAUGCGUAGAUAUGCGGA